CCAAGCACCCCGCCGCCCCACCACCCCACCACCCUCGCCGUUUCUCACCGACCGGAGCCCAGCCGCCCCGCCCCUCCUUCCCGCCCUCCUGGAUCCAGCCGCGCGGAUGCGCUCCCCUGCGUGCGCCCCUGCUCCUGCCCUGCGCGGGCUUGGCUGCGCCCCUUCCCCGACGUCCUGGCGCCCCUGCCCUACCCCGCCCUGCCUCCCUGCAAAGCCGGCGGCAGUCGCUGCCCUCCCUCUCAGUCACCAGUGACCAGUCCCCGGCGGCAGCAAGCGGGCAAGUCUGGAGAUAUGAACCAAUCACCCAUAUGCCUUUACUAGGCUGAUGCAUAUGGAGUUUGCAAUCAGAUCCAAAAUACAGAUGAAACUGGAGCUGUCUAACAAAAGCAGGGCACCAUUAUUGAUGGCAAGUCAAUUGCAGAGGACAUAAAGUUACAGAUUGCUGAAGAAUUUCGUCGAAUGAAAAAGGAAGUUGCACAUGUUCCUGGAUUAGCUAUUGUGUUGGUAGGCGAUAGAGGGGACUCUCAAUCCCAUGUGCGAUUUAUAGUGAAGGGUUGUGAGGAAGUCGGGAUAAAAUCUUUGUUGUCGGAGUUGCCUCAGAACUGCACAAAAGACGAGGUGGUGGAUUCAACAUCAAGAUUGAAUGGAGAUCCAUCUGUUCAUGGCAUCCUUCUGCGGCUACCACUACCACAAAUUUGCUAAAGAUCACGGAAGCUUGGGUUGAUGGAGUGCUUGUAUUUAGUUUUUGUUUUGACCUUGUGAAACUUGCUACCUAUGGAUGAAACUGUGUAAUAUUGAUGAAACUAUGAAUAUGAAUGGAUGAAACUUGCUACUAUUGGUAACAUGUGUUGGAUAUAUAUGUGUUCAUGACUA